rnacentral:rRNA from 1 species
GACGAACGCUGGCGGCGUGCUUAACACAUGCAAGUCGAACGGAAAGGCCCUGCUUUUGUGGGGUGCUCGAGUGGCGAACGGGUGAGUAACACGUGAGUAACCUGCCCUUGACUUUGGGAUAACUUCAGGAAACUGGGGCUAAUACCGGAUAGGAGCUCCUGCUGCAUGGUGGGGGUUGGAAAGUUUCGGCGGUUGGGGAUGGACUCGCGGCUUAUCAGCUUGUUGGUGGGGUAGUGGCUUACCAAGGCUUUGACGGGUAGCCGGCCUGAGAGGGUGACCGGGCACAUUGGGACUGGGGUACGGGCCAGAAUCCUACGGGAGGCAGGAGGUGGGAAUAUUGCAACAUGGGCCGAAGCCCUAUGGAGCAACGCCGCGGGCGGGAUGACCGCCUUUCGGUUGGAAACCGCUUUCGCCUGUGACGAAGCGUGAGUGACGGUAAUGGGUAAAGAAGCACCGGCUAACUACGUG